rnacentral:rRNA from 1 species
UACGUAGGGGGCAAGCGUUGUCCGGAUUUAUUGGGCGUAAAGAGCGUGUAGGCGGCCAGGUAGGUCCGUUGUGAAAACUCGAGGCUCAACCUCGAGACGUCGGCGGAAACCCUCUGGCUAGAGUCCGGAAGAGGAGAGUGGAAUUCCUGGUGUAGCGGUGAAAUGCGUAGAUAUCUGGAGGAACACCGGUGGCGAAGGCGGCAUUCUGGACCGAUAUUGACGCUGAGGAGCGAAAGCCAGGGGAGCAAACGGG